AAGAGGACCCCGCUGCGCCGCCGCUACUCCGUCGUCGCCACCACUCCCGGCGGCCUCUUCGUCCUGGCCGACCGGAACAAUUCUCGAGCCGCCUGCGUCUUCAAUCCUCUCACCGGCGUCCUGAUCCGGUGCCUGGCUGUCGACACCCAUAAGUUCCCGUCUGUUGAGGCCAACUGCAUCUACUGUGUUGAGCGUCUGGAUUCAUUUGCCUACAUCUGCAUGUGCAAUCUCAAGGACGAGAAAUAUGAGAUGAUCUCAGCUGGGGCCGUAGAUUUCAUGAAGACAGACAAGCUGUUCGUCAUCGCCGCACACCGCCCUUUCACCAUCAUCCACCUUCUCUCCAGCUACACCAUCAAUGUCCGGGAUUCUCAACUGCCGCUACAACAGGACGCCAACUAA
rnacentral:rRNA from 1 species